AAUUAAUAUUUAUGUAAUUAUAAGUUUGUAAUUAAUAUUUAUGUAAUUAAUAUUUAUGAUUUUAGUCCCUUUGUUUCAUUCAAGAAAAUCUAACUCAGUUUUGUUUCAAAAAAGAAAAAUCAACUCAGUCAAAAGACCUUUUACAUUCUUUUCUUCUCUCACGCCUCCUCUGCCAAGAAUAUGUUGCUCAUCUUAGAAGGAAAAGUAGUGGAUUUUCUAGAGGGGCUUCAAUUUACAGAGGAGUAACAAGCUUGGAAUCAUGGAAUCAAAGAAUUGGAAUUGGAUUUGAAGAUAGGCUUUGAUUGACUGAAAACGUCAGCUACUAAAUAUGAAUCUCUCUGGAACUUUAGCGCCUGAACUUGGCCAACUUUCUCACCUCAAAAUACUACAUUUCAUGUGGAAUGAAUUGACUGGUAAUAUACCGAAGGAGAUAGGACAUAUCUCUACCUUAAGACUCCUGUAAGUUGGAUUUUUCUUAUUCCUUCUUCUUCUUCACUAAAGAAAUAUGAGGUAAUAAUAAGUUUCUCAGCCAAAGAUCAAUUUUAUAUGGUGCAAAGAUCCAUUUAAAGUUGUUAAAAUAUAUAAAUGAAAGGCUCUUUGAGUUUGAAGAUGAAGUGGUUGUCCAAAAAUAAAGAGAAAAACGUGAUAUUUGUUAGUUAAGAAGCAGAGGAACAAAGAACCAGCGAGAGAAGAGAUGAGAGCAAAGAAGUAAAAGACCAGCUAAGAAGCAGCAGUAGUUUGUGUGUGGGGCUAAAAAAGUAAAAGAUCAGUUAAGAAGCACUUUUUGGCCGGAAAAGCAGAAAUUUUCUGCGUUUUCAUCUGCCCAAAAGUGCUUUAGAAAAGCUAGUGUACUGGCCUCAAAUGAAAUAUGUUCUCUGUUACUUUUCACCCAAAAGCACUUUUGGGUGUAAAAGUGCUUUUCAACCAGAUUAAAGAACGGGGCCUUCAUCUUUCCAUAACGCAAAAUGCAGUCGUGUUUGGUUUCUCGGCACCAUCAGGCAAACAAACAAAACCACCCGAAUUUCCAACUUUCUCACUAAUUGAUUAUUAUAUUGAAGAGGAAAUCAUUUUGUAAAAUGACUACUUUUUUCCCCACUUUGUUUCACCUGGAAAGGAUAUUAUUUGUUGUAAAUCAUGAAUUAUUCAAAAACAAAAUACAAUGCAAUUUGUAAUUCAUAUGACUC